rnacentral:rRNA from 1 species
CGGGGGGGGCAAGCGUUGUUCGGAAUUACUGGGCGUAAAGGGCGCGUAGGCGGUUUAUUAAGUUGGAUGUGAAAACUCUGGGCUUAACUCAGAGCCUGCAUUCAAAACUGAUAGGCUGGAGUUCUGGAGGGGAUAGCGGAAUUCCUGGUGUAGCGGUGAAAUGCGUAGAUAUCAGGAGGAACACCGGUGGCGAAGGCGGCUAUCUGGACAGAAACUGACGCUGAGGCGCGAAAGCUAGGGGAGCAAACAGGAUUAGAUACCCUGGUAGUCCUAGCCCUAAACGAUGGAUACUUGGUGUGACUGGGAUUGAAUCCAGUCGUGCCGAAGCUAACGCAUUAAGUAUCCCGCCUGGGGAGUACGGUCGCAAGGCUG